GACGAACGCUGGCGGCGUGCUUAACACAUGCAAGUCGAACGGUGAAAGCGGAGCUUGCUCCGCUGGAUCAGUGGCGAACGGGUGAGUAACACGUGGGCAACCUGCCCCUCACUUCGGGAUAACUCCGGGAAACCGGGGCUAAUACCGGAUAUGACCUCCUUGGGCAUCCUUGGAGGUGGAAAGUUUUUCGGUGAGGGAUGGACCCGCGGCCUAUCAGCUUGUUGGUGAGGUAGUGGCUCACCAAGGCGACGACGGGUAGCCGGCCUGAGAGGGCGCCCGGCCACACUGGGAGUGAGGCACGGCCCAGACUCCGACGGGAGGCAGCAGUGGGGAAUAUUGCGCAAUGGGCGAAAGCCUGACGCAGCAACGCCGCGUGCGGGAUGACGGCCUUCGGGUUGUAAACCGCUUUCAGCAGGGAAGAAGCCGCAAGGUGACGGUACCUGCAGAAGAAGCACCGGCUAACUACGUGCCAGCCGCCGCGGUAA
rnacentral:rRNA from 1 species